rnacentral:rRNA from 1 species
UACGUAGGGGGCUAGCGUUGUCCGGAAUCAUUGGGCGUAAAGAGCGUGUAGGCGGCCCGGUAAGUCCGCUGUGAAAGUCGGGGGCUCAACCCUCGAAUGCCGGUGGAUACUGUCGGGCUAGAGUGCGGAAGAGGCGAGUGGAAUUCCUGGUGUAGCGGUGAAAUGCGCAGAGAUCGGGAGGAACACCCGUAGCGAAGGCGGCGCUCUGGGCCGGUACUGACGCUGAGGAGCGAAAGCGUGGGGAGCAAACAGG